rnacentral:rRNA from 1 species
UACGUAGGUGGCAAGCGUUGUCCGGAAUUACUGGGCGUAAAGAGCGCGCAGGCGGCCGAGUAAGUCGAAUGUGAAAGCCCCCGGCUCAACUGGGGAACGUCAUUCGAUACUGUUCGGCUCGAAGAUAGGAGAGGGAAGCGGAAUUUCAGGUGUAGUGGUGAAAUGCGUAGAUAUCUGAAGGAACACCAGUGGCGAAGGCGGCUUUCUGGCCUAUUCUUGACGCUGAGGCGCGAAAGCUAGGGGAGCGAACGGG